rnacentral:rRNA from 1 species
UGGGGAAUUUUGGACAAUGGGCGCAAGCCUGAUCCAGCCAUGCCGCGUGCGGGAAGAAGGCCUUCGGGUUGUAAACCGCUUUUGUCAGGGAAGAAAUCUUCUGAGUUAAUACCUCGGGAGGAUGACGGUACCUGAAGAAUAAGCACCGGCUAACUACGUGCCAGCAGCCGCGGUAAUACGUAGGGUGCAGCGUUAAUCGGAAUUACUGGGCGUAAAGCGUGCGCAGGCGGUUUUGUAAGACAGAGGUGAAAUCCCCGGGCUCAACCUGGGAACUGCCUUUGUGACUGCAAGGCUUGAGUGCGGCAGAGGGGGGAUGGAAUUCCGCGUGUAGCAGUGAAAUGCGUAGAUAUGCGGAGGAAACACCGAUGGCGAAGGCAAUCCCCUGGGCCUGCACUGACGCUCAUGCACGAAAAGCGUGGGGAGCAAAACAGGAUUAGAUACCCUGGUAGUCCACGCCCUAAAAACGAUGUCAACUGGUUGUUGGGAAGGUUCCUUCUCAGUAACGUAGCUAACGCGUGAAAGUUGACCGCCUGGGGGAGUACGGCCGCAAGGUUGAAAACUUAAAAUGAAUUGACGGGGUCAU